UUGUCUCAAAGAUUAAGCCAUGCAAGUCUAAGUACGAGCUCUCGUACAGUGAAACUGCGAAUGGCUCAUUAAAUCAGUUAUGGUUCAUUUGAUCGUACAGUUUACUUGGAUAACUGUGGUAAUUCUAGAGCUAAUACAUGCGAGAAGCGCCGACCUCGCGGGAGGCGUGCAUUUAUCAGACCAAAAACCGGCCGCGUCUUCGGGCGCGUUCGCCUUGGUGACUCUGGAUAACUUUGCGGAUCGCACGGUCUAGCACCGGCGACGGAUCAUUCAAGUGUCUGCCCUAUCAACUUUCGUCGGUACGGUAUUUGCCUACCGAGGUUCUUACGGGUGACGGGGAAUCAGGGUUCGAUUCCGGAGAGGGAGCCUGAGAAACGGCUACCACAUCCAAGGAAGGCAGCAGGCGCGCAAAUUACCCAUUCCCGACGCGGGGAGGUAGUGACGAAAAAUAACAAUGCAGGACUCGUUCGAGGCCCUGUAAUUGGAAUGAGUACACUUUAAAAGCUUUAACGAGUAUCCAUUGGAGGGCAAGUCUGGUGCCAGCAGCCGCGGUAAUUCCAGCUCCAAAAGUAUAUAUUUAAGUUGUUGCGGUUAAAAAGCUCGUAGUUGGAUUUUGGGCGCAGGCGGCCGGUCCGUCGCAAGGCGUGUACUGGACGUCCUGGCCUUCCCUCCGGUUCUCCGCCGGUGCUCUUGACUGAGUGUCGGCGGCGGCCGGAACGUUUACUUUGAAAAAAUUAGAGUGUUCAAAGCAGGCUCUCGAGCCUGGAUAAUG
rnacentral:ncRNA from 1 species